rnacentral:rRNA from 1 species
AUUGAACGCUGGCGGCAUGCCUUACACAUGCAAGUCGAACGGCAGCACGGGAGCAAUCCUGGUGGCGAGUGGCGAACGGGUGAGUAAUAUAUCGGAACGUGCCCAGCAGUGGGGGAUAGCCCGGCGACAGCCGGAUUAAUACCGCAUGAGACCUGAGGGUGUAAGCGGGGGAUCGCAAGACCUCGCCCUACUGGAGCGGCCGAUAUCAGAGUAGCUGGUCGGUGGGGUAAAGGCCUACCAAGGCAACGAUCUGGAUUUGGUCCGAGAGGACGCACGGCCACACUGGGACUGAGACACGCGCCAGACUCCUACGGGAGGCAGCAGUGGGGAAUUUUGGACAAUGGGCGCAAGCCUGAUCCAGCAAUGCCGCGUGCAGGAAGAAGGCCUUCGGGUUGUAAACUGCUUUUGGCAGGGAAGAAAUCCACUGGGCUAAUACCUCGGGGGGAUGACGGUACCUGAAGAAUAAGCACCGGCUAACUACGUGCCAGCCGCCCGCCGUAACAC